rnacentral:lncRNA from 1 species
GAAGUGGGAAGGCUCAGAGCAAGACAGGGGAGCCAGGCUCUAAUUGGGGGGGGGGGGGGGUGCAGCUCAUGAAUCAUUUCUUGAUUCAGGAUUAGAAUGUUUACUGAGUGGAAAUAUUCCUGCUGCAAGUUUAGAAGCCAGAGGAGCAGCUCCUUACACUGGCCUUUACAGUUAUUGCAAGUCACAGGGGCUGUGGCUUCGGGGAAUCUUCUGAGAAUAAAACAUAGGCACGCUAUGGGCACCCGCGUGUGACCAGCUCCAGGCUCAGCUUUCACUGCCCUGAGAACCGUCCCGUCAUUAUGCCAGCCAGAACCCUAGUGCCUGAAACCCGUGGAUUUUUCUGCCUAAAUUCUGCAUUCCUUCUCCUGUGCUUCCCUGGACGGCUGCUCCAGCCAACUCCCAGGCCAGCCUUCCUUCGCCCACCCCUCCUGCCCAUCCCCCUGUUCAUCCUCCAUAAAGCUGCUGGAUGGCUCUUUCCUGCUGACACCGUAGGAUGUCACUCCCUUCCUUCAAGAUGCUUCAGGCCCCCUCUUCCACUCACUCACAUGCCCCGCAGAUUCUCACUGGACCACGGCCGUCUUGAAGACGAGACCGCAUUCACCAGCAUCACCAGCCAAGCACAAUGAUGGAUACGGGCCAUGAUGGUGAGCUGGGAGGCAGGUGGCCACGUAUUCUGAGUUCUUCACAGCACUGAGUGGUCCUGGCCACAGAAGCAGGAGGGGAAGGGCUGUGCGUCAAUUCCUGGCCAAGGAAGUGAAAGCCCGAGAACCCCCUGCCCUGUCUCGUCUAAUCUGGUGAGCGUGGGUCCUUGGGGUGGUGUGGCCCCUCCCUGGUGUGAUGGGGCCGGGAUCCGAGCCGGAGGCUGCAGGCUGCUUUGCGGAAGGCUCCCUCCUUUUCUAGGAGGCCUGCAUAUGCAGGGACCGGUCCCAUGUGCAUAACUCUUACCUUUCAGCCAAAUGGAUUGAGUGAGAGGCCCAAACAGGCUGUUUACAAGCACGUACAAUGAAGGGACAGAAAAGGAUUCAAAAGAUGAAUUGUGCGCAUGUGUGCAGAAGAGACUAGAUCAUAGAAUUAUCGCGCACUACAAACUACGAAGAGAAAUAUUAAAAGGACAAAGACAAUGAUUUUAUACUAUAAUGGGUUCCAUUCACAGCAAAGAUAUAAUUAGGCAUGGCUCUGCAUUGAAUUGAAGCCUUGUCUAUAAAUAGAUAAAUUAACGUUACCAAUCAAGAGAUGCUGACAGAAACAAAGCGUCGUGGGAGACCUGGUCCGUGUCUCUACCUGCCUUUGGUAGAUGAAGCAAAUGUUAAAGAUAGACAUUUCAUAAAGAAAUGAAAGAAUAUUUAAUAUAGCAAUGACUACUCUGGGGAAACCAUAACUUUUUGAAAUGUCCAUGGAAAACUGGCCAACAUGCCCCAAGGAUCGUGCCAUAAAGAAAAUCUCAAAAUGGCAAAAGCAGGAUGUAUGCACGUGGUGUUCUCAGCCCACACAUGUGGACAAAAAAGCAAAGGAAGGAAGAAGAAAGGAAGGAAGGCAGAAGAAAAGAUUAAAAUAGAAUGGAAUAGGAGUUCCUGUCGUGGCGCAGGGGUUCACGAAUCCGACUAGGAACCAUGAGGUUGUGGGUUCGGUCCCUGGCCUCGCUCAGUGGGUUAAGGAUCUGGCGUGGCCGUGAGCUGUGGUGUAGGUCACAGACGCGGCUCGGAUCCCGCGUGGCUGUGGCUGUGGCUGUGGCUGUGGUGUAGGCCGGCAGCCACGGCUCCGAUUGGACCCCUAGACUGGGAGCCUCCGUAUGCCGCAGGAGCGGCCCUAGAAAAGGCAAAAAGAAAAAAAAAUAAUAUAAUGGAAUAAUGAAAGAAGGGGGUAGGAAGAGGGAAAGAAGUGAAAAGGAAGAAAGGAAAGAGCGGAAGGAAGGGUUGGAGGGAAGGAAGGAGGAUGAAAGGAAAGAAGAGGCAAAGGAAUCCUGGUGAGUCAAAGUGAGAAUAAAGGAAAACUGCAUUGACCA